rnacentral:rRNA from 1 species
UCUGGAAACUGUNUGACUUGAGUGCAGAAGGGGAGAGUGGAAUUCCAUGUGUAGCGGUGAAAUGCGUAGAUAUAUGGAGGANCACCAGUGGCGAAAGCGGCUCUCUGGUCUGUCACUGACGCUGAGGCUCGAAAGCGUGGGUAGCGAACAGGAUUAGAUACCCUGGUAGUCCACGCCGUAAACGAUGAGUGCUAGGUGUUAGGCCCUUUCCGGGGCUUAGUGCCGGAGCUAACGCAAUAAGCACUCCGCCUGGGGAGUACGACCGCAAGGUUGAAACUCAAAGGAAUUGACGGGGGCCCGCACAAGCGGUGGAGCAUGUGGUUUAAUUCGAAGCAACGCGAAGAACCUUACCAGGUCUUGACAUCCCGAUGCUAUUCUUAGAGAUAGGAAGUUACUUCGGUACAUCGGAGACAGGUGGUGCAUGGUUGUCGUCAGCUCGUGUCGUGAGAUGUUGGGUUAAGUCCCGCAACGAGCGCAACCCUUAUUGUUAGUUGCCAUCAUUAAGUUGGGCACUCUAGCGAGACUGCCGGUAAUAAACCGGAGGAAGGUGGGGAUGACGUCAAAUCAUCAUGCCCCUUAUGACCUGGGCUACACACGUGCUACAAUGGUCGGUACAACGAGUUGCGAGCCGGUGACGGCAAGCUAAUCUCUGAAAGCCGAUCUCAGUUCGGAUUGGAGGCUGCAACUCGCCUCCAUGAAGUCGGAAUCGCUAGUAAUCGCGGAUCAGCACGCCGCGGUGAAUACGUUCCCGGGCCUUGUACACACCGCCCGUCACACCACGAGAGUUUGUAACACCCGAAGUCGGUGAGGUAACCUUUUAGGGGCCAGCCGCC